GUUGAAGAAAUGAUGCACAAACAGUAAUCGAAUCAAAGUACGAUAGGUAACACCGGAUCAGUUUUAUAUUCCAAACAACAAUGAAGACUCUUGUGCUUAUUGCGUGUUUAGUAACAAUAUCCUACGCCGCUAAUCUUGAAAAAAUGAAAUUAUUCUAUCAAACCAUCCAAACUUGUUUCAAGGAAGAGAAUGUACAAGAUUGGACUCCAGAAGCGGCUCGAUGUGUAUUCUACAAGCGUGGAUUUGUUGACGAUAAGGGUGUAACUAUGAAAGAUAAACUUUUUAAAAAUUAGGAUAUAUAAUUUCCGAUGAGAGCAAAUUAAAUCAAGCAAAAGAGAUCUUUAUUAAGUGUGAGGAACAAGAAAAACAAGGACCAGGAACUAACGAGGAGAAGCUUUUAAAAAUUAUAACAUGCGCAAUGCCGACAAAAGACUUAAUCGACAAAUAAAAGAAAGAUCAUUUUUUCUUUCACAUAAUAUUCAUAUAAAAUAAUAACGAUGAAGAGAUAAAGUAUAUAUAGUAAUGAGAUAAGAAUACUUUUGAUCCUUUCUUUAUACUAACGGGUUAUUGGGAAUUUUACACAAAAAUUUUUUUGUCACUUGAAUUAACGUGUACCUACUUUAUAUUAUAUUUAAUAAAAUUAUAAAUUUAAAAAAUUA